UACAGAGGUCUCAAGCGUUGUUCGGAUUCAUUGGGCGUAAAGGGUGCGUAGGUGGCGCGCUAAGUCAGGUGUGAAAUUUCGGAGCUUAACUCCGAAGCUGCAUUUGAUACUGGCGUGCUUGAGGACUGGAGAGGAGACUGGAAUUCAUGGUGUAGCAGUGAAAUGCGUAGAGAUCAUGAGGAAGACCAGUGGCGAAGGCGGGUCUCUGGACAGUUCCUGACACUGAGGCACGAAGGCCAGGGGAGCAAACGGG
rnacentral:rRNA from 1 species